CAAUUCCCUACAUUAGCAAAGUGCAUAUUCUUCAGCAUGACUAGUCAUAAAACAUAAAUCUGUUCUUUUUCCUUUAUUGAACUGUUAUACAUAUUCAGAACAAAGAUAAAGUGGGGUCAGAUUAGUUAAAAAUGGUGAUACGUAAUUAGCUACGUUGGUAGUUGCAGCACGGCUUCUUAAUUUAUUUUUGCUGUGGAUGUUCCAUUUACCGUGGAUUCCUUAAUGAGGUUCUCCUCCUUUGUUGGUACAUUGAAGAAAUAUAUUAUCUGAUUUUAAGAUUCAAUAAAAUAGUAUGAAAGGCUUUCCCAAAUUUUACGUGAUUGCAGCAGUUGAGUUUUUUUAGGGGCACUUUUUUAUUUGUUUCUUUAAUUUCAAGAGGACACAAACACUGCUCCUGAAGGCUAGUUCCUUUUGUCUCUGAGUAAUACACCUAGGAUUAAGUGAGCCCUGCCUGGGAAAUGGGCAAAGAAACUGGUCUAAGAAUAUAACUUUGAAAGUAGUUGAGUUCUAUUUUGAUGUGGGUCUGAUAUGCAAAAUAUGUUUCUCUUUCUAUUUGAGGAAAAUAGAGAUUUAGUAUUUCAGAGCAUCCUGAUUUUGUAUUAAUUUACAGCAUUUUCCCUCCAGAAAUUCAGUACCUGCUUGCAUCAUCCUUCUGAAAACAGUAACUCAAGAACACAUGGAUCCUGGGAACUGAAGACCUGACGGACCUUCUUGGGUUUGCUGGAGGAAUGAAAUGGCACUAUCAUUUCUGACCACCUGCUGGAUAUGACAGCACUUGAGUGGAUUGUAAAAGAGCUGAAAGCAAUCUUCAAUCUGCCAGUUCUGCAAUUUGCCUAGCUAAAUCCUCACUGAGAAAUGAGUAAAUGGGCAAGAGACUGAACCAGCACUUCACAAAAGAAGGCCAAGAAAGGAUCACAGUUCCUUUUUUUGGCAAAGGAGGGGAAAAUUGGGUAAAUUCUUUAUCUUUUGUGAAGAAACAUUAAAA
rnacentral:lncRNA from 1 species